CCAUAAUUGGUGUUUUAGUUAGGUUGGCAACACUGUAAUUCCAGGGCAUCCAUUGCGAUCACGUUUCGUCUUUGAGAAGGUGUUCAAGAUUUUUCAUUUACGUCCAUCGGCCCAUUUAUAUCGUUUUUAAUUGUAUAUUUUAUUGAUUUCGAAGAAAUUCUUCCACCUCGUGGAAUUUCGAUCUUCGCGAGAUCAUCGUACUCUUUUUGGUCGUUUAAUUUUUCUUUAUUUCAGGUUACACCUUCCGGAUUGGUAUGGGGCCGAAGAAGAAGAUUUUAACCGGAGCGGCACUGGCAUCUCAUGUUGCGAAAAUUCGUAGAAUGGCUUCGAGUACGGAUUCCGAAGACGGUGCGACUUCGGUCCGGGAAGAUGUCCGGUGUUCGGGGGCCUCGUCCGGAUUAGGAAAGAAG